rnacentral:lncRNA from 1 species
UCAUUUUUUAUUAAAUUUGACUUGAUUUUUGUUUUUUUUUUAUUUUUAUAUAAAAGUGCUUUUUAGGGUUUUGUUUCUUGUAUAUGCAGGAUACAAUUCAUACUAGGAGCAAGAAAAAUCAGCAACCUCUUCUUAAAGGUUUGAGUGCAACUCGAAGGAGAGGAAAGGUUCGAAGAUCAUCUAAAGAAUUAUUCUCCUCUCUUGAGAGACUGUUGCAACCCCAACAAUAACAUCCAACCAGAGCACAGAAGAGAUGGCUGAGGAGGAAGCUCCUUUUAGACGCAUUCUGGCGGAUGCACCGAAUGUGGUUGGCCCUCAACACUUUAACAAAAUUGCGAGGCCAAGGGUAAAUGCACUAAACAUGGAAG